GGGGUUGUAGCUCAGUGGUAGAGCUCAUGCUUAACAUGCAUAAGGACCUUGGUUCAAUCCCCAGCAUAGCUC
rnacentral:tRNA from 1 species